rnacentral:tRNA from 1 species
AGCACGGUGGCCGAGUGGUUGUGGCGUUGGACUUAAGAUCCAAUGGACGUAUGUCCGCGUGGGUUCGAACCCCACCCGUGCUA